rnacentral:rRNA from 1 species
UACGUAGGGUGCAAGCGUUGUCCGGAAUUAUUGGGCGUAAAGAGCUCGUAGGCGGUCUGUCGCGUCGGCUGUGAAAACUCGGGGCUCAACUCCGAGCUUGCAGUCGAUACGGGCAGGCUAGAGUUCGGCAGGGGAGACUGGAAUUCCUGGUGUAGCGGUGAAAUGCGCAGAUAUCAGGAGGAACACCGGUGGCGAAGGCGGUCUGCUGGGCAGUUGCUGACGCUGAUGCGCGACAGCGUGGGGAGCAAACGAGGAUUAGAAACCGUGGUAGAUCC